rnacentral:rRNA from 1 species
AUUGAACGCUGGCGGCAGGCCUAACACAUGCAAGUCGAGCGAGCGGCGGACGGGUGAGUAAUGCCUGGGAAUUGCCCAGUCGAGGGGGAUAACAGUUGGAAACGACUGCUAAUACCGCAUACGAUUGGAUUGCCCAGGUGGGAUUAGCUAGUUGGUGAGGUAAUGGCUCACCAAGGCGACGAUCCCUAGCUGGUCUGAGAGGAUGAAUCGCCACACGGGAACUUAGACACGGUUCAGACUCCUUCGGGGGGCACCCGUUGGGAAUAUUGCACAAUUGGGGAAACCCUGAUGCAGCCAUGCCGCGUGUGUGAAGAAGGCCGUCGGGUUUUAAAGCACUUUCAGCGAGGAGGCGUUACUCGCAGAAGAAGCACCGGCUAACUCCGGGCCAGCAGCCGCGGUAAUUC